UACGUAGGGUGCAGGCGUUAAUCGGAAUUACUGGGCGUAAAGGGUGCGUAGGCGGGUCUUUAAGUCAGGGGUGAAAUCCUGGAGCUCAACUCCAGAACUGCCUUUGAUACUGAAGAUCUUGAGUUCGGGAGAGGUGAGUGGAACUGCGAGUGUAGAGGUGAAAUUCGUAGAUAUUCGCAAGAACACCAGUGGCGAAGGCGGCUCACUGGCCCGAUACUGACGCUGAGGCACGAAAGCGUGGGGAGCAAACAGG
rnacentral:rRNA from 1 species